rnacentral:lncRNA from 1 species
AGAGAUGCACCAGUGUCGCAGCGACGAGUUCAACUGUAGCUCUGGGAUGUGCAUCCGGUCCUCCUGGGUGUGCGACGGAGACAACGACUGUCGGGACUGGUCUGAUGAAGCCAACUGCACCGCCAUCUACCACACCUGUGAGGCCUCCAACUUCCAAUGCCACAAUGGCCACUGCAUCCCCCAGCGAUGGGCAUGUGACGGUGACGCGGAUUGCCAGGACGGCUCUGAUGAAGAUCCCAUCAGCUGUGAGAAAAAGUGCAAUGGAUUCCACUGCCCAAACGGCACGUGCAUCCCAUCCAGCAAGCAUUGUGACGGGCUGCGGGACUGCCCCGACGGCUCUGACGAGCAGCACUGUGAGCCCUUCUGCACACGUUUCAUGGACUUUGUGUGUAAGAACCGUCAGCAGUGUCUGUUCCACUCCAUGGUGUGUGACGGGAUCAUCCAGUGCCGAGAUGGCUCUGAUGAGGAUGCCACCUUCGCCGGAU